UGCAGCAAGGGGUGGAGCUGGGUUAGAGCGAGGCUGCAAGGAGGCUGCAGGCAGGCACCCGAUACAGACAAUAACUAGAGCUGGCUGAGCGUCCAUCACUGACCUCAGAGCAGAGAAGCGCAAAAGAGAGGACCAACACAUCUGACAAACGUUCCCAGCCUAACAAGCUACCUAAAAGGACAGCAUUUCUGCUCCGAGGUGAAGAAAAGCUCAGGGUGCCAGCUUCAGGCAAAGCCACACCCCCAGAAGAGGGGGAACCUCUGGUGGGAGAGGCAGCUCCACAGAGCCAUCUCCUGCUCUGACCUGGCAUUACUGACUCUUUUACCCCCUCCCUCUGCCUGCUCUAGGGACAACCUCAAGAGCCGGCCUAUUGGCACUGCCACCUCCACACUGGGACAGGGUUGGAAACAAAGGCGAGUAUUAACUGAUACUGAAUGUGUCUCCAUGUGGCAAACACUAUAUGCAUGCUGUUAUUUAUGAGAAAAGAAUUAUCUCCACUUUACAAACUAGGAAAGAAAGGUGCACAGAGAUUAGGUAGCUCGCACAAGGCCAAAAUGCUAAACAGCAGCUGAGCUGGGAUUGUUUUCUUUCCUUAAAUUUUUUUUAUAUUUUGCUGAGCUGGGGAUAGAAUCUGGGGCUUCACACACGCCAGGCAAGUGCUUUACACCUGAGCUGUAACCCCAACCCUAAUGGUAAAAUUUAAAUACAGGCACCUAUGAUUCCAGAGCUGCAGCUUUCAGCUAUUAGGCUUCAUUCUACUCCUUCAAGAGGAAACAUUUUUCUCAAAGCCAGUAGAUUGGAGUUCAGGUUAUCUGUCUCCUCUAAUGCAUUAAUUCCCAGGACACCAUUCAUUAGCCUCACUGGGCAGUGGUGAAUGAGAGGCCAAUCUGGAAUGGGAGCUUGCCUAAGGAGCCCCAGCUAUGAGGAUGACCAACUAGGGCCUACCAUUUUUUUUUUUUUUUUUGUCUUUUUCGUUUUUAUCGGUACCAGGGAUCGAACUCACGACUGCCUGCUUACUUAUGCUGCUGAGCUAAAUCCCCAGCCCCUAGGGCCUACCAUUAAGAAGGACUCUUAUCCCCCUGCCUGCAAGACUGUGAAGGAAAAAGCAAGGGUGCUAGAGGAGCCCGAGGAAACUUUCAACUUCACCGUUGGUCUUGGGGCAGUGACAAAGGCUGUCUCCCAUCAGAUAUACGUCCGUCCCUCUCCACUAGAAAGAAGCCAAAGUCAUCCUGAAGUUGCUGUCAUCAUGAAUUAUGGCAAGAAGGUCUGUGACAAAGGUAGCGGCGCCUGGAUUACUAGUCUCUUUUCCCAUUCUUCCAAUUGGGCACAGGGAUGAUGAGUGCAAUAUGAGACACUGGGUUUGCAUCCUGUUAAUAAGCUCCCCUUUACUGAGCCCUUGGUUUGAUCUAGGCCCUCUGUGGUAUUUCUGAAAGUAUGGCUGAAGAAGGAGCUACACAGGACUUCUCUGGGCAACUUACUGAAGAAGAUUCCUGGGCCCCAUCCCAGGCACAGAGAAUAACAGUCAUGAGAUUAGGGCUAAGGGCCUGCAUUUUAUUUUAUUUUUAUUUAUUUAUUUUUUUUGGCGACAGUGUCUUGCUAUGAAGUUCAGGCUGGCCUUAAACUAGCAGCAAUCCUCCUGCCUCAGCCUCCCAAGUGGUGGGAUUAAAGGUAUGUGUCACCAUGCCUAGCAGAACCUGUGUUUUAAACAGGCCCAAUGUUCCUGAUACACAACAAAGAUUGAGACACCACAGAGCACUGCCAUAAAGUUGGGGGCCACUGUGAACUCUUUCAAUGGCCUCAUGAUAUUUGCAGGGUACACCUCUUUUCUUAUUUUUUUUUUUUUUUUUUUUUUUGUCUUUUUCAUUUUUAUCUGUACCAGGGAUCGAACUCACGACCGCCUGCUUGCAAGGCAGGUGCUUAUGCCGCUGAGCUAAAUCCCCAGCCAUUCUCUUUUCUUAUUUUUAACUGGCCUGAAUUUGUUCUGCAGAGUUCAUACCUUUAAUAAAUGUAAAAUACAAACAAACAAACCAAAAACCUCACCAGAAGAAGAAGACAACAACGAAGAAGAAGAUGAAGACGACGAAGACGAAGACGAAGAAGAAGAAGAAGAAGAAGAAGAUUGAAAACCACUGCGUUACUCUUUCCUGAGUGUUUUUCUACUUGAUUUCAUUUUACUAUCACAUGAACCAUGAAAGGGGGCAGGGUGAAUCAGUGUUAUGUCCUUGUUACAAAUGAGAAAAAGGACGCAAAGGGAGGUUGUUCAUCUUCUUAUUUUGGCUAGAUAAAUGUUUGCUGACUGACAAUUUGUUAUGCCCUAGUUCACCGAGGACCUUUACCUUUCUGGUGAUAGUCUUACUUACCUGUACCCCCCUGAUAGCUGCCUCCCUCCUUCCUCAGUGACACUUUAAUAGUGUUCAGGAUAUAGUUAUAAAAAGAUGACUCUAGAAGAUAGGGGCAUUCCUUAAAAACAUUACCCAAGAAACUAAAAUAAAUUUAAAAUAAACACAUAGCCAAUUUUGCAAAUAGCUGUUCUACAAAAAUCACUUUACUGAUGGAGUAGAGUGGAGCACCUUCUGAUCUAAACACAAAUACUACAUGGCAUUGUGAAAAAGGUAUGACCAGAAUAUGACUGACACACAGAAGAAAGCAACCUUAAAUUUCUUUCUAUCUCUAGUAUGAGGUGCUCAGGGAUUUCAUGGUAACAGUGAGGCACGUAAGGAAAGAGAAUGUUAGCACUCCUCCAGCACUUCCAGUGGAGAAGAGUCUAGCCUUUGAUGGAAAAAAGAAACAAGGUAAAAUGGCACCGUGAGCUAUGGUAGUUACAGAAGGGAUAAUGUUUACAGACUGAGGUCUUAUUUUAUUCUCACUUCCAAAAAAAAGAAGCUCUUAUCUGGGAGAAUAAUGCAAAGAGAUAAAGGGUGCUGUUAUAGUUUAGAUUUAAAAAGUCCCCCCAAAUUCUCAUCUGUGUGAAAGGAGACUGGAUCAUGGAAGCACUACACUCACCAGUGCUGGGGCCUGUUGGAUGUGGUCACUGGGGGUGUGACCUGAAAGGGUGGAUUCUUGUCCUUACCUGCUCUUUUGUCUGAAUCUGUCUCUGUCCCUGUUCUCUCUCUCUCCCUCCACCCCUCCCUCCUUCCUGCCUGCCAGAGAAUGAGCAGCUUUUCCCCGCCAUGCUCUUCCACCACGGUGUUUUGUGCUUUGGAGCCAGCCAAUCAUGUACUGAAAUGAUGAGUCAAAAUAAACUUCUCCUAUAAAACUUCUUUAAA